CUUCUAGGAAGAGCUUGGAGGAUAUGGACAAAAACAUCGAAUAAAGAGCACGCCGGUACUAACGCCGAUGUGCACAUCAUUUUGAUUGACCCUGAUGGAGGAGAAUCCCCGCCUUUAUUCUUGGACAAUAUAUUACGCAACGAUUUUCAGCAAAAUUCUGUAGACCAAUUCAGCGUAUACGACAUGGUUAACCUCAAGGACGUCUGCGCUAUCAGAAUUUAUCGUGAUAACAGUGGCUCUUCCCCUGACUGGUUUCUCGAAAAGGUGUGGAUAAAAGCUGCUCACAUGAAAAACGAUCGUGUAUUUAAUAUCAACCGCUGGGUCCCAACAGAACAAGAAGAGAGGGCAUCACACUAUGAAGUACAGCGCUCGCCACCGUGUAGCGCAGGUCACCUGCCGUGAUGCAUCAACGUGGCAAUGGUAGACAGCGGAUGACAAGGAUGAAGAGAAGUAACGUGGCUUUGGAGCAGAUUUCCUGAGGUCAACUUACAGUACUGCAAACUGAAAUUUUGUUUUCACCGUCUAAACUUUGAAGGCAUCCAGGACUCAAAUACUUGCUGAAAUUGCUUUUAUUUGUAGAAACUUGCUGGCAUGUCAUAAUAAAGAACGUCUGUUCAUGCAUGAAA